rnacentral:rRNA from 1 species
UCCUACGGGAGGCAGCAGUGGGGAAUAUUGCACAAUGGGCGAAAGCCUGAUGCAGCGACGCCGCGUGAGGGAUGACGGCCUUUCGGGUUGUAAACCUCUUUCAGUAGGGAAGAAGCGAAAGUGACGGUACCUGCAGAAGAAGCACCGGCUAACUACGUGCCAGCAGCCGCGGUAAUACGUAGGGUGCGAGCGUUAUCCGGAAUUAUUGGGCGUAAAGAGCUCGUAGGCGGUUUGUCGCGUCUGUCGUGAAAGUCCGGGGCUUAACCCCGGAUCUGCGGUGGGUACGGGCAGACUAGAGUGCAGUAGGGGAGACUGGAAUUCCUGGUGUAGCGGUGGAAUGCGCAGAUAUCAGGAGGAACACCGAUGGCGAAGGCAGGUCUCUGGGCUGUAACUGACGCUGAGGAGCGAAAGCAUGGGGAGCGAACAGGAUUAGAUACCCUGGUAGUCCAUGCCGUAAACGUUGGGCACUAGGUGUGGGGACCAUUCCACGGUUUCCGCGCCGCAGCUAACGCAUUAAGUGCCCCGCCUGGGGAGUACGGCCGCAAGGCUAAAACUCAAAGGAAUUGACGGGGGCCCGCACAAGCGGCGGAGCAUGCGGAUUAAUUCGAUGCAACGCGAAGAACCUUACCAAGGCUUGACAUGUUCUCGAUCGCCGUAGAGAUACGGUUUCCCCUUUGGGGCGGGUUCACAGGUGGUGCAUGGUUGUCGUCAGCUCGUGUCGUGAGAUGUUGGGUUAAGUCCCGCAACGAGCGCAACCCUCGUUCCAUGUUGCCAGCACGUAAUGGUGGGGACUCAUGGGAGACUGCCGGGGUCAACUCGGAGGAAGGUGAGGACGACGUCAAAUCAUCAUGCCCCUUAUGUCUUGGGCUUCACGCAUGCUACAAUGGCCGGUACAAUGGGUUGCGAUACUGUGAGGUGGAGCUAAUCCCAAAAAGCCGGUCUCAGUUCGGAUUGGGGUCUGCAACUCGACCCCAUGAAGUCGGAGUCGCUAGUAAUCGCAGAUCAGCAA